rfam:Deltaproteobacteria bacterium RBG_16_49_23 RBG_16_scaffold_1012, whole genome shotgun sequence.
ACCCAGGUUUUUUUUGAAACCACCGUUGACAACGAUGGAAAAAUUA